UACGGAGGGUGCAAACGUUGCUCGGAAUCAUUGGGCGUAAAGCGCACGUAGGUGGCCUGUUAAGUCGGGUGUGAAAUCCCUGGGCUCAACCCAGGAAGUGCACUCGAAACUGGCAGGCUAGAGUACCAAAGAGGGUCGCGGAAUUCCCGGUGUAGAGGUGAAAUUCGUAGAUAUCGGGAGGAACACCGGUGGCGAAGGCGGCGACCUGGGUGGAUACUGACGCUGAGGUGCGAAAGCGUGGGGAGCAAACAGG
rnacentral:rRNA from 1 species